UACGUAGGGGGCUAGCGUUGUCCGGAAUCAUUGGGCGUAAAGCGCGCGUAGGCGGCCCGGUAAGUCCGCUGUAAAAGUCAAAGGCUCAACCUUUGAAUGUCAGUGGAUACUGCCGGGCUAGAGUCCGGAAGAGGCGAGUGGAACUCCUGGUGUAGCGGUGGAAUGCGCAGAUAUCAGGAAGAACACCGACGGCGAAGGCAGCUCGCUGGGACGGUACUGACGCUGAGGCGCGAAAGCGUGGGGAGCGAACCGG
rnacentral:rRNA from 1 species